GUCUGGAAAGUCCGACGGUACAGGGUGAUAGUCCCGUACACCAAAAUGCACAGGCUGUGAACUCGAAGAGUAGGGCGGGACACGUGGUAUCCUGUCUGAAUAUGGGGGGACCAUCCUCCAAGGCUAAAUACUCCUGACUGACCGAUAGUGAACCAGUACCGUGAGGGAAAGGCGAAAAGAACCCCGGCGAGGGGAGUGAAAAAGAACCUGAAACCGUGUACGUACAAGCAGUGGGAGCACCUUCGGGUGUGACUGCGUACCUUUUGUAUAAUGGGUCAGCGACUUAUAUUCUGUAGCAAGGUUAACCGUAUAGGGGAGCCGCAGGGAAACCGAGUCUUAACUGGGCGUUAAGUUGCAGGGUAUAGACCCGAAACCCGGUGAUCUAGCCAUGGGCAGGUUGAAGGUUGGGUAACACUAACUGGAGGACCGAACCGACUAAUGUUGAAAAAUUAGCGGAUGACUUGUGGCUGGGGGUGAAAGGCCAAUCAAACCGGGAGAUAGCUGGUUCUCCCCGAAAGCUAUUUAGGUAGCGCCUCGUGAAUUCAUCUUCGGGGGUAGAGCACUGUUUCGGCUAGGGGGUCAUCCCGACUUACCAACCCGAUGCAAACUACGAAUACCGAAGAAUGUUAUCACGGGAGACACACGGCGGGUGCUAACGUCCGUCGUGAAGAGGGAAACAACCCAGACCGCCAGCUAAGGUCCCAAAGUCAUGGUUAAGUGGGAAACGAUGUGGGAAGGCACAGACAGCCAGGAUGUUGGCUUAGAAGCAGCCAUCAUUUAAAGAAAGCGUAAUAGCUCACUGGUCGAGUCGGCCUGCGCGGAAGAUGUAACGGGGCUAAACCAUGCACCGAAGCUGCGGCAGCGACACUAUGUGUUGUUGGGUAGGGGAGCG
rnacentral:rRNA from 1 species